UCCUCCGUGGUGUAAGCGGGCAGCAUAACAGGCUUUUACCCUGUCGGUGCGGGAUCGUGGCCCGCCGGUGGAACCA
rnacentral:tRNA from 1 species